GAUGAACGCUGGCGGCGUGCCUCAAACAUGCAAGUCGAGCGGGGCUAUGUAAUAUCGCAAGGUAGAACAUAGCCUAGCGGCGAACGGGUGAGUAACACGUGGGUAACCUGCCUGGAAGACAGGGAUAACGAUUCGAAAGGGUCGCUAAUACCUGAUAAUAUCCUUUCAUCGCAUGGUGAUAGGAAGAAAGGGGAAACCCGCUUUCAGGUGGGCCCGCGUCCCAUCAGCUAGUUGGUAAGGUAAAGGCUUACCAAGGCGACGACGGGUAGCCGGUCUGAGAGGAUGUACGGCCACACUGGGACUGAGAUACGGCCCAGACUCCUACGGGAGGCAGCAGUUGGGAAUCUUAGGCAAUGGACGAAAGUCUGACCUAGCGACGCCGCGUGAGGGAAGAAGGCCUUCGGGUUGUAAACCUCUGUCAUGGGGGAAGAAGUAAGUGACGGUACCCCAAGAGGAAGCCCCUGCUAACUACGUG
rnacentral:rRNA from 1 species